rnacentral:tRNA from 1 species
GAGGGGAGGUUUAACCAACAGAAACUGCUAAUUCCUGCAUCUGGGUCUAAUAACCCCAGUCCCCUUA